ACGUACACUCCUGCGGGAGGCAGCAGUGGGGAAUAUUGCACAAUGGGCGCAAGCCUGAUGCAGCCAUGCCGCGUGUAUGAAGAAGGCCUUCGGGUUGUAAAGUACUUUCAGCGGGGAGGAAGGCGAUAAGGUUAAUAACCUUGUCGAUUGACGUUACCCGCAGAAGAAGCACCGGCUAACUCCGUGCCAGCAGCCGCGGUAAUACGGAGGGUGCAAGCGUUAAUCGGAAUUACUGGGCGUAAAGCGCACGCAGGCGGUCUGUCAAGUCGGAUGUGAAAUCCCCAGGCUCAACCUGGGAACUGCAUUCGAAACUGGCAGGCUAGAGUCUUGUAGAGGGGGGUAGAAUUCCAGGUGUAGCGGUGAAAUGCGUAGAGAUCUGGAGGAAUACCGGUGGCGAAGGCGGCCCCCUGGACAAAGACUGACGCUCAGGUGCGAAAGCGUGGGGAGCAAACAGGAUUAGAUACCCUUGUAGUCCCAUGAU
rnacentral:rRNA from 1 species